CCUACGGGAGGUAGCAGUGAGGAAUAUUGGUCAAUGGGCGCUAGCCUGAACCAGCCAAGUAGCGGGAAGGAUGACGGCUCUAGGGGUUGUAAACUUCUUUUAUAUGGGACUAAAGUGCAGUAUGUAUACUGCUUUGCAUGUACCUUAUGAAUAAGGAUCGGCUACAUCCGUGCCAGCAGCCGCGGUAUUACGGAGGAUCCGAGCGUUAUCCGGAUUUAUUGGGUAUAAAGGGAGCGUAGAUGGGUUGUUAAGUCAGUUGUGAAAGUUUGCGGCUCAACCGUAAAAUUGCAAUUGAUACUGGCAGCCUUGAGUACAGUUGAGGUAGGCGGAAUUCGUGGUGUAGCGGUGAAAUGCUUAGAUAUCACGAAGAACUCCGAUUGCGAAGGCAGCUUACUAAACUGCCACUGACACUGAUGCUCGAAAGUGUGGGUAUCAAACAGGAUUAGAUACCCUUGUAGUC
rnacentral:rRNA from 1 species